UACGUAGGUGGCAAGCGUUGUCCGGAUUUACUGGGCGUAAAGAGCGCGCAGGCGGUCGUUCAAGUCGCGUGUGAAAGCCCCCGGCUCAACUGGGGAGGGUCACGCGAUACUGAUCGACUCGAAGGCAGGAGAGGGAAGUGGAAUUCCCGGUGUAGUGGUGAAAUGCGUAGAUAUCGGGAGGAACGCCGGUGGCGAAAGCGGCCCGCUGGACCUCUUCUGACGCUGAGGCGCGAAAGCCAGGGGAGCGAACGGG
rnacentral:rRNA from 1 species